rnacentral:rRNA from 1 species
GCAGUAGCCGCGGUAAUACGAAGGGGGCUAGCGUUGUUCGGAAUUACUGGGCGUAAAGCGCACGUAGGCGGAUAUUUAAGUCAGGGGUGAAAUCCCGCAGCUCAACUGCGGAACUGCCUUUGAUACUGGGUAUCUUGAGUAUGGAAGAGGUUAGUGGAAUUGCGAGUGUAGAGGUGAAAUUCGUAGAUAUUCGCAGGAACACCAGUGGCGAAGGCGGCUAACUGGUCCAUAACUGACGCUGAGGUGCGAAAGCGUGGGGAGCAAACAGGAUUAGAUACCCCAGUAGUCCCUGUCUCUUAUAA